AAGUCGUAACAAGGUUUCCGUAGGUGAACCUGCGGAAGGAUCAUUAAUGAUUUUUAAAGCGAGUCGAGCGUUUAAGCGAGGCUUUGCGAAAAUAUUUAAAACCCCACUCUUUUUAACUUUAAAAAAAUAAAUCAUGAUGCAAAAAAGAUCACUUUCAACAACGGAUCUCUUGGCUCUC
rnacentral:misc_RNA from 1 species